rnacentral:tRNA from 1 species
GUUGGUGUGGCAGAGCCCGGCAAUUGCUAAAGACCUAAGCUCUUUCUACAGAGGUUCAAGUCCUCUCUCUAACU